CCUACGGGAGGCAGCAGUGGGGAAUAUUGCGCAAUGGACGAAAGCCUGACGCAGCGACGCCGCGUGAGGGAUGAAGGUCUUCGGAUCGUAAACCUCUGUCAGCAGGGAAGAACGGUCACUGUGCUAAUCAGCAGUGAAUUGACGGUACCUGCAAAGGAAGCACCGGCUAACUCCGUGCCAGAAGCAGCGGUAAUACGGAGGGUGCGGGCGUUAAACGGAAUUACUGGGCGAAAAGCGCUCGUAGGCGGUAUGUCAAGUCAAGGGUGAAGUCCCGCGCUGAAAGUCGGAACUGCCAUUGAAACUGGCAAACUGGAGUGUGUGAGAGGAUAGUGGAAUUCCAGGUGUAGGAGUGAAAUCCGUAGAUAUCUGGAGGAACAUCAGUGGCGAAGGCGACUAUCUGGCACAUAACUGACGCUGAGGAGCGAAAGCGUGGGUAGCAAACAGGAUUAGAUACCCGGGUAGUC
rnacentral:rRNA from 1 species